CCUGGACCUUGUUCGGUUACCUAGACGAAAGAAGAGCCCCGCCUAUUACUGCGUCGCCAGCCGGCGGUUAUUACGUAGGUGGGCAACGGUUGUUCCGAUUAUUUGGGGGAAAUCGCUCGCCGGCCGGUGUUUAAUACGGAUGGGAAAGCCCCCCGGGUUCUCCGCGGAGGGGUCAUUGUAAACAGGUGGAAUUGUGGGCAUGAAGAGGAGAGGGGAAUUACCUCUGGAGCGGUGGAAUAAUAGAGAAAUGGAGGAACAACAGUGGCGAAGGCGACUCCCCUCGUCUGUAACAUGAUGAUGAUGAAAGAAAAGCGUGGGGUAGCAAAACAGGAUUAAAUACCCUCGUGGUACCUCCCCGUAAAAGAUGAGUUCUAGGUGUUAGGGGGUUUCCGCCCCUUGUGUGAAGUUAAAGCAUUAACACUCCCGCGGGGAGUGUGGCGUCAAGGGUUUUACUCAAAAGUAUUGACGGGGACCCGCACAAGCGGUGGAGCAUGUGGGUUAAUUUUAAGCAACGCGAAAAACCUUUCCAGGUCUUGACAUCCUUUCGACCUCCCUAGAGAUAGGGAUAUCCCUUCCGGGAAGAAAGUGACAGGUGGUGCAUGGUUGUCGUCAGCUCGUCUUGUGAAAUGUGGGGUUAAGUCCCGCAACGAGCGCAACCCUUGAUCUUUAGUUCCCAGCAUUAAGUUGGGCACUCUAAGGUGACUGCCGGUGACAAACCGGAGGAAGGUGGGGAUGACGUCAAAUCAUCAUGCCCCUUAUGAGUUGGGCUACACACGUGGUACAAUGGAUGGUACCAAGGGCAGCGAAACCGCAAGGUCAAGCAAAUCCCAAAAAACCAUUCUCAGUUCGGAUUGUAGUCUGCAACUCGCCUACAUGAAGCCGGAAUCGCAGUAAUCGCGGAUCAACAAGCCGCGGUGAAUACGUUCCCGGGUCUUGUACACCCCCCCCCUUAAAAGGCCCAGAGAGUUGGUAUCCCCCCAGAAAUCGGGGUGAAGGGGGG
rnacentral:rRNA from 1 species